rnacentral:rRNA from 1 species
CGUGUAGGCGGGAAUACAAGUCAGAUGUGAAAUACUGUGGCUCAACCACAGAACGGCAUCUGAAACUGUAUUUCUUGAGUACUGGAGAGGAAAGCGGAAUUCCCAGUGUAGCGGUGAAAUGCGUAGAUAUUAGGAGGAACACCGGUGGCGAAGGCGGCUUUCUGGACAGUAACUGACGCUGAGACGCGAAAGCGUGGGGAGCAAACAGGAUUAGAUACCCUGGUAGUCC